rnacentral:rRNA from 1 species
GUAGUCCUAGCCCUAAACGAUGAUUGCUUGGUGUGUCGGGUACCCAAUCCCGCCGUGCCGAAGCUAACGCGAUAAGCAAUCCGCCUGGGGAGUACGGUCGCAAGACUGAAACUCAAAGGAAUUGACGGGGGCCCGCACAAGCGGUGGAGCAUGUGGUUCAAUUCGACGCAACGCGAAGAACCUUACCUGGGCUCGAAAUGUAGUGGACCGGGGUGGAAACAUCCCUUCCCGCAAGGGCUGCUAUAUAGGUGCUGCAUGGCUGUCGUCAGCUCGUGUCGUGAGAUGUUGGGUUAAGUCCCGCAACGAGCGCAACCCUUAUUGUCAGUUGCCAUCAUUUAGUUGGGCACUCUGGCGAAACCGCCUCGGAUAACGGGGA